rfam:Ixodes scapularis strain Wikel colony gcontig_1108379638752, whole genome shotgun sequence.
CCCUGGUUAGUUCAGUUGGUAGAGCGCUCUACCUGUAAUGGAGAGGUCCCGGGUUCGAUACCCGGACCAGGCG